GCUUUUCUACGCCAAGAAAGGUCCCUACGUGUAGGGAAUAGACGGUAGCGUAGGAAUAAGCAUCGGAUAACUCCGUGCCAGCAGACGAGGUAAUACGGAGGAUGCAAGCUGUAUACGGACUUAUUGGGUCUAAAGGGUGCGCAGGCGGAUUAACUAAGUCAAGUGAGCGAAAUACUGCCGAUUAACGGUAAAUUUGCAUUGAACUAGGAAUCUUGAGUGUGGUUGAGGUAGCGGGAAUGUGUAGUGUAGCGGUGAAAUGCAUAGAUAUUACACAGAACACCGAUUGCGGAGUCAGCUUACUAAGCCAUUCACUGACGCUGAGGCACGAAAGCGUGGGGAGCGAACAGGAUUAGAUACCCUGUUAGUCCACGCUGUAAACGAUGUUCACUCGCUGUUUUGCGAUUACACAGUAAGCGGCUGAGCGAAAGCAUUAAGUGAACCACCUGGGGAGUACGAUCGCAAGGUUGAAACUCAAAGGAAUUGACGGGGGCCCGCACAAGCGGAGGAACAUGUGGUUUAAUUCGAUGAUACGCGAGGAACCUUACCUGGGCUUAAAUGUAGACUGCAUAGGAUGGAAACAUUCUUUCCCUUCGGGGCUGUUUACAAGGUGCUGCAUGGUUGUCGUCAGCUCGUGCCGUGAGGUGUCGGGUUAAGUCCCAUAACGAGCGCAACCCUUACCGUUAGUUGCCAACAGGUCAAGCUGGGGACUCUAGCGGGACUGCCACCGUAAGGUGAGAGGAAGGUGGGGAUGACGUCAAAUCAGCACGGCCCUUAUGUCCAGGGCUACACACGUGUUACAAUGGCCGGUACAGAGGGCAGCUACCACGCAAGUGGGUGCCAAUCCCGAAAGCCGGUCCCAGUUCGGAUUGGAGUCUGCAACCCGACUUCAUGAAGUUGGAUUCGCUAGUAAUCGCGCAUCAGCCAUGGCGCGGUGAUACGUUCCCGGGCCUUGUACACACCGCCCGUCAAACCAUGGAGCUGGGGUGCCUGAAGUCUGUGACCG
rnacentral:rRNA from 1 species